rnacentral:rRNA from 1 species
UCUAGUGGCGGACGGGUGAGUAACGCGUGGGUAACCUGCCUUAUACAGGGGGAUAACAACCAGAAAUGGUUGCUAAUACCGCAUAAGCGCACAGGACCGCAUGGUCCGGUGUGAAAAACUCCGGUGGUAUAAGAUGGACCCGCGUUGGAUUAGCUAGUUGGCGGGGUAACGGCCUACCAAGGCGACGAUCCAUAGCCGGCCUGAGAGGGUGAACGGCCACAUUGGGACUGAGACACGGCCCAGACUCCUACGGGAGGCAGCAGUGGGGAAUAUUGCACAAUGGGGGAAACCCUGAUGCAGCGACGCCGCGUGGAGGAAGAAGGUCUUCGGAUUGUAAACUCCUGUUGUUGGGGAAGAUAAUGACGGUACCCAACAAGGAAGUGACGGCUAACUACGUGCCAGCAGCCGCGGUAAAACGUAGGUCACAAGCGUUGUCCGGAAUUACUGGGUGUAAAGGGAGCGCAGGCGGGAAGACAAGUUGGAAGUGAAAUCUAUGGGCUCAACCCAUAAACUGCUUUCAAAACUGUUUUUCUUGAGUAGUGCAGAGGUAGGCGGAAUUCCCGGUGUAGCGGUGGAAUGCGUAGAUAUCGGGAGGAACACCAGUGGCGAAGGCGGCCUACUGGGCACCAACUGACGCUGAGGCUCGAAAGUGUGGGUAGCAAACAGGAUUAGAUACCCUGGUAGUCCACACCGUAAACGAUGAUUACUAGGUGUUGGAGGAUUGACCCCUUCAGUGCCGCAGUUAACACAAUAAGUAAUCCACCUGGGGAGUACGACCGCAAGGUUGAAACUCAAAGGAAUUGACGGGGGCCCGCACAAGCAGUGGAGUAUGUGGUUUAAUUCGACGCAACGCGAAGAACCUUACCAGGCCUUGACAUCCCUUGACAGGCAUAGAAAUAUGUUUUCUCUUCGGAGCAAGGAGACAGGUGGUGCAUGGUUGUCGUCAGCUCGUGUCGUGAGAUGUUGGGUUAAGUCCCGCAACGAGCGCAACCCUUAUGGUCAGUUACUACGUAAGAGGACUCUGGCCAGACUGCCGUUGACAAAACGGAGGAAGGUGGGGAUGACGUCAAAUCAUCAUGCCCUUUAUGACUUGGGCUACACACGUACUACAAUGGCGUUAAACAAAGAGAAGCAAGACCGCGAGGUGGAGCAAAACUCAGAAACAACGUCCCAGUUCGGACUGCAGGCUGCAACUCGCCUGCACGAAGUCGGAAUUGCUAGUAAUCGUGGAUCAGCAUGCCACGGUGAAUACGUUCCCGGGCCUUGUACACACCGCCCGUCA